AGAAGCCCAGCCUGAGCUAAUUGCCUAGUGGGCCACAUCUGACUGAGACUUUGACUGGUAGCCCUAAUUUAGCUCAUGACUCUGGCCAGCUGCCAGGAGAACAGCUUCCCCAUUUAUGUUCAGCUGUGGUAAGAGCCUCCAGGUCAGUCAGUGGUUCCUGAGGAAGAUCUGUUCUGAUCACACUUAUCUUUCCACUUUGGGAACUUGUAACCAUGCUUCACCUCCCAGAGAGCGGAAGAGUUUCCACUGUCGCUCAUGGGGAUGAUGCUAUAUUGGGUUAAUGAAACAGCAUUGUCCAGGCAGAAUCAUAGCACUGAUUUGCUUCAGGAACUCCACUGGUAUAAAAGGAUGAGGAUAAGUGGUGGAGACUUGUGGAUACAGCCCCCUUCUGGUUGUAUUAAAGUGGGUACCAUUCCACCACGCCUCUGUGACCAAGAAGGAAUCUCCAAGAAACUCUGCAUACAACCUUUGGCAUUCUAAAAUGGAUCCAUUCAAAUGCAUGCUUCAUGAGCAGCAAUUACUUCAGUUAUUUAUACCCCUAAAGUUGGACUAGGAAAUUGCUGAGUGAAGAGAUUCCACUUUGUUGUACACCUGCUUUAGAGAUGCUGACUGCACCAUAGCCUGAGACUACUGCACAUUAAAGUUGCAUCAUGGUUUCUGCCACACAAGGCUACUGUGCAGUCAGUGUCUCCGUGUAGAUGUGACCACUUUCAAGUAAACUUACUCUGGAGUACGUAGCAGACAUGUGACCAGGUCUUCCAACCAACCUAUCUAGCAAAGUGACUGAAAACUUUUGGAGCCAGGAUUUCAGAGGUGCACUCUAUAUCCAUCAUGAAGAAAAGUUAAUAUACUCUUCCAUUAAAACAUAGAUAUCCUGAUAUGGAGAGACAAUGUACUGAGCAACCUAGAGAAAUGGAUUCAUAUUUCUAUUUGCACAUCAAAUCAUUCCUCCAGCAGUGAGAGCUAAAGCCUGGCUGGGCACAAAACAGCGUGCUGGAAAAUCCAAUGCUGAAUCCACAGAGGCAACUUUUCACAACUACCUUACCUGAUAUAAUCCAUGGCAGAAACAGAAUGGAGAAAUCAAACAGUCAUUUUCCUCCUCCUAGGAUUUGGGAAUGUCCCUGAGCUACAGCUUCUUUCUCUUCCUAACUAUCUACACUGUGACUGCUUCUGGGAGCUUCCUUAUAAUUGUGAUGGUUGUGGCUGAUCAGCUCCUUCAUCCUCCAUGUACUUCUUCCUGGGAAGUUUGUCCUGCUUGGUGACCUGCUACACAAGAAACAUCCUGCCCAGACUGCUGGCUACCUUCUUGACUGGGGACAGAACCAUUUCUGUCAGAAGCUGUAGCACACAGCUUUCUUUGGCUUUUCAGCAGAUACAGAACGCUAUCUCCUUGCAGCCAUGCCUUAUGAUCAGUAUGUAGCAACAUGAAAACCCCCGCAUUAUGCAUUUCUUAUGAAUGCUAGAUUGUGUAUCUUGGAUCAUUGCUGUUUCUUGGAUGAAUGGAUUUAUGUGUAUUCCUAUAAUCAUAUGCCUAAUGUCACAAAUGCAGUUCUGUGGGCCCAGUAAAUCUGAUUACUCCUG